AAAUAUAAGCGGGCUCCAAAUAUCACACUUUAACAAAAUAGCUCUCGCUCUGCAAAUACAUUCAAACUUCAAAAUGUUCAAACUUCAAAGUGACCCUCACAGAUGCUCUCCUUCCCUGGCAUACAUAGAUCGAUUUCAUGUUCCAGCUUCGAUUUCAGGUCCUAUUUAAGCUUUGUUUUUGUGAGAUUUGGCUGAGUUGGGGCUUGUUUGAUUUAAGUAAUGCUGUGAAGUUAGCCAUCUCAUGGUUUUCUUGGUUUGAGCUUUUCUUUGAGUAGCAAGCAGACUAGCUGGAGUUGGUAAAUUCAUUAUGAUCAAUUCCCUGUAUAUAUAAUUUGCUUUGGUUGCAACGGCCAAACUUUGUUGCGAGACCCUGCACGACAUAACAAAGGAACUGCCUUCACUGAGAAAUGGUUAUUAAUUAACAUUUAUGUUGUUUUUUAUCUACGAAGUCAAAUUUUUACUAAUUGUAUUAACACUAUUACAAUUUUAUUUUUUGGUUUUAGGUGAACAAUGUGGAAUGUGUAUCACAUUAGCUUCUGUUUUUAAAUUCGAUUAUCUAAAUUUUUGGUUUUGAUUGUUGCACUUCUUGAGGUUGUCAGGUCCAGCCUACUAGUAAAACAAUAGUAAACCACAUGUUUUUUCAGUGGAUUCAAAGCUAUCGUGAUCUUCCUCUUAUGAUAAAUCAGUUUCACAAGAUGGGAGAUGUGUACUAAACCAUUUGUCAGGACUAUUGAAUUUCUAUGGCAGGAGGGACAUACUGCUCAUGCCACUCCAAAGGAGGCAGAAAAAGAGGAGGAGCUUAAGCCGUUAAUGGACCAACUUAACGGAGUCAAAGAGUUGACUGUUCCAGAAUUUGGAACUCUUUAAGUUUGGGAAGUGCGAGAAAAUGCAAUAAUAUGUUUAUAUAUAUAAUAGUUUAGUGUGCUACUGGUGACUUGUGAUGUUCAGUUGGAUUUGUUUAAUACUUGAUUUGGUUGGAUAUGUUAGGUAGUUUGGUUGGAUUUGUUAUAAACUUCAGUUUGUAUGAAGAAUAGUUUAAUGUUGCAGUUCAUAGAGUAAAAUGUUGUAAUUUUGUUA